GGACCGCCCCGCGGGGGCUAAGGCCAUACGGACAGCCGGGUCCACUGCCGA
rfam:Faecalibacterium sp. CAG:82-related_59_9 Ley3_66761_scaffold_23134, whole genome shotgun sequence.